AGUUUUUGGUGAUGACGACUAGAAGCGGACAACUUGUGUCCACCACUACUAUGAGUGCAUUCUUCUCCAAGUCCCGACCUUUCUUGUUCCCCGAGCCAUUUGGAUUUUUUUUUUUUUUUGUUAAAAGGCCUUCUUCCAUUUGGAAAAUUGACAUUACUAGUUGACAUAAUCUCUCGCUAAAAAAAAA
rnacentral:sRNA from 1 species